rnacentral:rRNA from 1 species
GACGAACGCUGGCGGCGUGCUUAACACAUGCAAGUCGAACGGUGAAGGUGGAGCUUGCUCCGCCGGAUCAGUGGCGAACGGGUGAGUAACACGUGGGCAACCUGCCCCUCACUUCGGGAUAACUCCGGGAAACCGGGGCUAAUACCGGAUACGACCUCCUUGGGCAUCCUUGGAGGUGGAAAGUUUUUCGGUGAGGGAUGGGCCCGCGGCCUAUCAGCUUGUUGGUGAGGUAGUGGCUCACCAAGGCGACGACGGGUAGCCGGCCUGAGAGGGCGACCGGCCACACUGGGACUGAGACACGGCCCAGACUCCUACGGGAGGCAGCAGUGGGGAAUAUUGCGCAAUGGGCGAAAGCCUGACGCGGCAACGCCGCGUGCGGGAUGAAGGCCUUCGGGUUGUAAACCGCUUUCAGCGGGGAAGAAGCCGCAAGGUGACGGUACCUGCAGAAGAAGCACCGGCUAACUACGUGCCAGCCGCCGCAGUAA